CCUAGGCAGAGAGAGGCCCUGACUGC
rnacentral:piRNA from 1 species